AGUUUUAUUCUUGCUGUUUUAUUCAGUUUUGCCUUGCUUUGUAUGCGAGUUUUUGCGGGAUUAGUCUCUUGCUCUUGAUGGGUUUAAGAAUUAUGGAUUAAGAAAUACUGAUUUGCAAUGUUUAAUUUUAUAGAUCUUGGUUUCUUGGAUUUAGUAAUGGUUGGUUGUACCGGCUAAGUUUGUGCCAGCAGCUGCGGUUAUACAUUAGGUGCUAUUGAAUAUUUUCGGUUGUGUAGUUGAAUUAUUUUGUUUGGGUUUGAUUUGGUUGGUUUAGUUGGUGAAAUUUAAAUUUUUACUUAGGGCUUUGAUGUAUGGUUUUGUAGGCUAUGAAAUCUUUUUUGUAAACUAGGAUUAGAUACCCUAUUAUUCUUGAUGUUAAUUUUCUUACCUGGGUAGUAUUAGUUGUGUUCUUGAAACCCAAAGAAUUUGGCGGUAUUCUGUACCUUUCAGAGGAAUCUGCCCCGUGAUCGAUAAUCCGCGUUGGACCUUACUUGAUAAGAUUGUUUGUAUACCGCCGUUGUAAUGAAGGUCUCUUUAGUGAAAAUCUUCUAGUAUCAUUAAUAUGAUUGAUUUCAGGUCAAGGUGCAAUUUGUUUUCAAGUGUGAGGUGGAUUACAUUAUGUCGUUGAAUUUGGAAUGUUGCUUGGAAUUGUUGUAACAGGAAAUUGGAUUUGAUUGUAAUUAUUUGAAGAUUGUUUUUAUGAUUUUGGUUCUAGAAUAUGUACACAUCGCCCGUCACUCUCAUUUUUGUUGAGAUAAGUCGUAACAUAGUGGUCGUACCGGAAGGUGUGGCUGGAUUGAU
rnacentral:ncRNA from 1 species